rnacentral:rRNA from 1 species
ACGAACGCUGGCGGCGUGCCUAAUACAUGCAAGUUGAGCGCUGAAGGUUGGUACUUGUACCAACUGGAUGAGCAGCGAACGGGUGAGUAACGCGUGGGGAAUCUGCCUUUGAGCGGGGGACAACAUUUGGAAACGAAUGCUAAUACCGCAUAAAAACUUUAAACACAAGUUUUAAGUUUGAAAGAUGCAAUUGCAUCACUCAAAGAUGAUCCCGCGUUGUAUUAGCUAGUUGGUGAGGUAAAGGCUCACCAAGGCGAUGAUACAUAGCCGACCUGAGAGGGUGAUCGGCCACAUUGGGACUGAGACACGGCCCAAACUCCUACGGGAGACAGCAGUAGGGAAUCUUCGGCAAUGGACGAAAGUCUGACCGAGCAACGCCGCGUGAGUGAAGAAGGUUUUCGGAUCGUAAAACUCUGUUGGUAGAGAAGAACGUUGGUGAGAGUGGAAAGCUCAUCAAGUGACGGUAACUACCCAGAAAGGGACGGCUAACUACGUG